AUAAAUAUGGCCGAAUGAUGAGACGCGUGCAUAAAGACUUCUACGAUAAGACUUUAAUUUUGUAAUAAUUGUGAAGUGUUUAUCUAAUUAAUAAAUAAAAUUAUUUCAAACAACACAAUUAGAGUGCUAUACAAAAAGUUUUUUGUUAAUUCUUUCUAUCAAUAAAGAAUGAAAUGAGUGAUACUUUGUAAUGAAUGUAAAUAACUUUUGUUUUUAAAAGCUAAAAAUCAGUUAAGUUUAUGUAUAAAUUCUUCGAAGGAUAGUUGUGUUUAGACGAUUUAUUUGAUUUAUCCUUCUAUUUUGUCGAAAUUGAGAAUGAUUGCCCGAUAGUAUCGCGGCCCUGUUUUCGAGCUAAGUGCCGUGUAAUCAAAGGAUGAUUGCUGACACAAAGACGGCUGAUUGGCUCGUUUAUGUUACGGUAAUGCUCGAAGCUUGGUGGAACGUCUCUCGAUACCGAGCUCGUUUCUCGUGCUAACGAGAUUUCAUCGAAACGUCCAUGUUCUCAUUAAAGAAUUAAAUGAGAAUGUUCUCGUGAGACAGUAGUGAAUGUGAAUAAUAAUUCAUCAUUAAGGAAACCAUCAUAUCAAGAGAAGAAAAAAUCUCCUCUUUAAAUUAAUAAUCCGUGAAUUCUCAUAAAGGUCCUCAAAUCUUUCGUUAAUUUCGCGUAUCAAAAGAUAGAGAAAUAGCUUGAAUCGUCUAAUAAUCGUUCUUUCUCCGUGUUCGAAUUAUAUUCAAACGUAUUAAGAUUUCAUUGUCUUGAAACAAUGAAUUUGGAAGAGAGAAAGAAAAGAAAAAGAAAUAACGAGAAUUGAAUGAUUUUCUAGUCAAAUCUCUGCAGAAUGAUUUCAAAACCAUAAAUUGUUCUUGGGAGGUAGACAGUAAAGUCUUCAGCAGGGUGUCGCAAAGAUACCACAAAGAUGGUGUAGAUUCGCGCGGCAAGCAUCGAUGCCAUGAGAGGGUUGCUUGUUUACAAGCGACAGUUGAUUUGACAAAGCCGUGGGUCCAUUUAUACGAGUGAAUAUUACAGGGCAAAGUCGAGGGGUGGCUUGUUAUCCGCUCAUUGAAGUUAACCACGGGGCUAAGUGCGCUGGGGAGUGCCGGUCGGUAGGAGCAAGGAGAACUAGUGACUAAAGGUUAGGUAUAUGUAUACCGACGGAGGGGAUAGCUUUGCAGUUUGUAGAGAGAAUCAGUGAAACUCCGUGAGAAACUGAGAGAGAAAAUUCAAAUGGAGACAGAUAGAUACUAGUAUAGCGAAUAAGAAACAGAGAUGAAGCAACGAGGAAAGAAGAGAUAGGCGAAAUAAAACGAGUUGAAAAGAGAUAAAAAAGAAAAGGUGAAGAGAAAUAGAUCAAGAGAGAAAACAGAUAGUGAUAAAUGCGAUAUAUUCGACAUAUAUUUAAUAAAUGAUAUUUGUAAAAAUUGUCUAUAUAUUGAUAUCAAAAGAAUACUCUGAAAUGAUUUAUGAUCACUAUGCCCAUUCUAUUGAUGAGCUUUGAAAUAAUAAUCUUUGAAACGCUAAUGAAAUUAGUCCCAUCGCUAGAAGAGGGUGAUGGAACGAAAGAUGGAUAACAGCAGGGUGGCCUGGAAGAAGAUAGCGUAAUGGGCAAAGAGGUGAGGAGGGAAGAGAGUUGGUAGAACAUUGACGGGCCAAUGAGAGGCCAGAUCGUUGCCGAGGUAACCGCGGGGCUUUCCGACGGAUUAUUCGACCGAGAUUGAAAAGUUAGCACCGUGCAACGGGCGGGGGCGGCGGAACCACUCCUGUUUCUCCAGAACGAGCGAUCUACUCGCGACAGGGCUAACACAACGGAUUAAGGCUUAUUUUCACGUUCAUAACAGCUCAACCCCUUUUACUCGAUGCUAUUAUGUUACAACAGGAUAUUAUGCAAAUGCGAUACGAGAUUCAUAUCUCGAAUUGUACGCGAAUACAAUAGUGCUGGUAUAAUCUUUCACAUCUAUAUUUAAUCAAUAUUAUAAUCUUUGAUUUCUUUUUAGGAUUGAAGAUGGAUUUAUAUUCAUAUUCCGUUUGAAACAUAAAUUUGUGGUAAUUUUCUUUUAUUUCUUUCCAAGAUCAUUAAGAUGUAACUAACUUAUUUAAUUAUUUUUUCUGUUUUUUAUAGAUAUAUCAUAAUGAAUAAAUAAAUAUCAUAAAUAAAUUGCUUAAAAAAAUCCCGUUUAAAUUUAUGAAAUGAUUAUUUUUUUCAUAAUUAAAAAUUAUUUGAAUCUAACUGCUUUUUUUCAUUAUACUCAUAUAACAAAAAAAUAUUUUAAAAAUUCCAUUGCAAUUCAUAGAACAGUUUUUUAAAAAUUUUGCCUAAUUGAUUCAAAAAAAAAAUUCUUGACAGCUAUUUUACUUCGGAUUUUUUUAUGACAAUCUUAUAGACAAGAUAAUAUGAUGAGAUCGUCUCAGGAUUGUUGGCAAAAUGUUCGUCGGUGACGGGUCAAACGUGAAUAUGUCCCGGAAAAAUGUUUAUUUUUGCAAGUAUACGAUGUACAUAGUAUGCAUCUAGCAAGCUGCUUACCUGGUAACCACUCGGAGUUACCUGACACGUGUAUAAUUAAUGCCCGUGAUGACGAGGCGCGACACUCGCGCGCGCACGCUCGUGGAUUAUCUGUGCCGGCAAAAAAAAGCAGGAGAAUGAGUUAUGCGAAACUCAGGAUUGCGAAUGGGAGGAAGAAAAGAGAAGUGAUAAAAGAUGAGAGAGGAACAAACGUGUUGGAAGGAAGAUGAAGCGAUUCUUGCCGAAUGGAUGCCGAGGAGAACGAAAGGAAAGAUCGGACUAGGGAAAGGGGAGUGACGAGCAGGAAAGUUGUCCAAGUAACCGACGUGGAAACGUGGGAUAAUGACUACUUUUUCAUAUUUUAAUUACGCAGUAAUUAAUUGAAAUGUUUCCUCAUUCGUGAGAGCACUCGAGCAAAAUGAGAGGCGAGUAACUCUCCGCGAAGUCGGCUUCGGUUCGUUUUUUUUCCUUUCUUCGAAGCAAUUCUGCGAAUUUUCUCUGUUUCUGCCAUGUUCGACCUGAGGAUAUUUCGUUUCCUUCGUUCUUUCACCUUUUCUCGCAAAAUUAGGUAGAAAUCCUUUCAUGGAGGAUUCACUUCUCUCUCUUUCUCUCUCUCUUUUUUUCUCUUUUAAAAAUUCCAACAUGUGGCUAAUUAUAUCACUAAUGGCCUUAUCGUGAAAGGAUUCUUCUGAUAAUCUGACCUCUAUGUCUCCAACACUUCUGUCAUCGCACCCCUUUUCCAUCUAUUAUCCGCGACUGUGUGCAUCAUGCUUAAAGUACUAAUUAAAUUAGUUUCGUAAAGCGAAACUCGUCGGCCAGACUUUCGAUGCUAUCGAUUCGUGGCGAUCAUUAAAAUAAUUACAGAUGUUCGUCGGUAAUUGCACGGAUACUUGGUUGCUUUCGCGUUACAAAUAUUGUCUAUAAUAUAAAUUGUCACGAUGUUGUCAGUGAUGAUAACUCACAGAAAUAGUUAUUGAAUGCUAAAAUUUAUAUGAUAAAUAAUAAGAGAUUUAAAAAUUCGAUUCAUGUUAAAUUGUUUAUAUGUAUAUAAAUAUUAUUAUAUUUUUAUUGAAAUUGUCAGAUAAUUUAUUGUUAUAGAAAUAUAACAAUAUGUAAGAUAAACAUAAAAAUUUUUAUUUUUUCAUAAUUUCAAAAUGAUUGUUUUGUUCAUUAAAAAGACAAUAGCAUGUUUAAUAUAAACUUCAAUUUUAUUUCAAACUACUAAUAUAUAUCGCUAUAAGUAAUAUUUUUAAAUCUCUUAUUAUAUGCUUUUCAAGACAAAUUCAAUGAUAUGUAUAAUUAUUUUUGAUCAAUAAUAUAAUUUUAAUAUAAUUUUCUAUAAUUCACAAAAUAAACGUGUUUAAUACGAGUAAAUUGCACAUAUUAAACUUCAAUAAAAUUCAAUGAAUAUAUCAUACAUAUAAUCAUUUCACAUUGGAAAGUAUUUGCGUAAUUUUUCAUCGGCUUAAUUUUCAGUGGAUUUCUUACGAUUCCUAGAAAUUUACUCUUAUUCGGUAUUCCAGGGAACGUUUCGGGCUAGCUGUUUCGAUACCUCGAGAGGUACGAAGGACGCUUCGUUACUCGUUACCUGAUGCUGACGCUCGUUGCGGUAGAAAGGGAACAAUAGCGAGACGAGAAAUAAGAAGGAGACGGAGAGAGAUAGCCAAAACGAGGACUGCUAUUGUUUCCGGUAACUCUUUCGCGGUAACGAGGAGGAACCUCAAUUAGAAUGGUUUGAGGACUUAAACGCCCAGAGGCUGCCGGGUUUUAAGAGGUAGCGAACAUUGUUUCUUUUGAGCGAUAACUCGGUGAUACUUUUAGCUAUAUCGUGAAACAUCGUGCAGCAACUUCUUUGGUGGAUAAUUACUAGGCACGCUUGAGGAAACUAUGGAAAACGCAAGAAUAAUAUCCAUGUUGGUAAAUCGUUAUUAACAUGGCAUCCUGUUAUUCUAAGAGAUACGGAACAACUAGUCAUCCACAAAUUCAAAGUCCUGGAACGUGGAGAUCCGCAUGAACAUUCUUCUAAAGUUAUGAAAUCCUGGUCGUGCGAAUGCUUCUGGCGCCACACGGUUGAUGAGUGACAGGACAUUGACGAGACUCAAGGGAUGUUAUAUUUCUUCAAACGAGAAAGAAUUCUUUCGUUUGAUCGAUUAAGAAAAAGUUCCGUCUUACAUGAUGUCCUGAUCGACGAAAUAUUUACUGUUUGAAAACUUGUGGAAGCUCAACAUUCGAUUCAAUCUUAAAAGGGAUUCAUUCAAGCUCGAAAUACCUAUUCGCAUGAUAUCCUAGUGUGAUUGGAUAUUUGUAAGAUAUAAGCGAUCAUUGUUGAAUGCAAUAUAUAUGUAUUUAUUUAUCUAAUUAAUAAUGAAAAGAGAUAAAUUUUAGAAUUCUAUUAUUGUUUAAAAUAAAUAUGCUCAAAAAUAAUGAAGCCAAUAAUAAUUGUUUAAUAUUCUAUAAAUAAUUUGUAGAAUUAGAUGUUAAAAUGAAUUUGAAUUAAAAAUAGAUCAAUAAAUCUUAGCUUUCGAAAUUUUUAUAUAAAAAUAGAAACAAUCCUGAUCAAUUUGUUUAGUCUAAUAAAUAAAUUUCUCUUAAAUAAAUUUUUGCAAAGUUAUAAUAAUGCAUCUGUGACAUCAAUAAAAAAAAAUUUCUGCGUAUGUGAUGUAACAUGAACUUCAUUUUCAAUGCAUACUCGGGACAUCCAUAGAGGAUAGGAUUGCAGAUAUUAUAGUAGGAGGAUAAUAUCGAGGAUCGAUAUUAUCACGUUAUCUCUCAGUUAUUUUCUUUUAUCCUGAUACUCAAGCUUAUUUUGUCUUUUGAAGUCCUUCUAUUAAAUCGAUGCAUAGUGUGAAUUUUUUAAUUCCUUUUACUAAAAAAUUUUGAAAAAAAUUGCUUUUUUAUUAAGUUCAAAGAUCAUUGAUAUGUAAUAAAUAUAAAACAUAAUUGAGAUAUCUUUCUUAGUUAAUUAUAUAAAUGAAAUAUUAUUAAUAUUUUAAUCAAAUUCUUUUAAUCAAUUUUUGAAAUAAUUAAAAGGCUUUAGUUAACAAAAGAUAAAAUUACGAUUAUGUCAUUAAUGAAACAGAAAAUAAAAAUUAAUUACUUCUAACAAAUAAAAUUUCAAAAUCACAUAUGAUUUUUUAUCAUGUACAAUUAUUCUAAUACUUUUCAUAUUUAUAAAAUAAUGAUAAAUAAUUCAAUUUUUAAAUAUUAAUAACAAUAAAUUUCUUUCCUAAGAUUAUUGUAAAAUAUAUUAUUUUAAUAAAUAUUUUAGAAAUUUGAUUAA